UAACAGAGCAGCGCAGUCCGAAAGUGAGGCAGAAGAAACUGAAACGAGCAGCAAUGAGUCCGCCGCAGAGACCAACAUCUCGGCUGAUUCAGGAUCCGUGCAUGAAACUAGCAAUGCAGAAGCGCAGGUACAGGUUCCCACGUUGACGGUGCCACAGAAACGACGCCCAGGCCGACCGCGGGGCUCCAAGAACAAAACUGUUGCCAAAGGAAAGGAAGCAUCUGCCCCUGUGACGGCAGACAGUGACGCUGCUGCUGACAUCUCAAACCAGGAAAAACGGUUUCCCAAGAAGCGCGCAAGUUCCAGCAUUACCAGGGUUUCAAGUUUGCCUGAGAAGAAAAGAGGACGCCCAAAGAAAGUUCAGUAAUAUUCUAACUAGAAGUUUUGUUUGUUGCCAACCAAUGCCCAGUUAUGUAAGGAUCACGCUUUAUUCUCCUUUCAUUUGUUACCAAUUGUUACUUCCUCCUCUGUUAAAUGCUCAUGUGAAUGGUUGUGCCUAGGAAGUACGUGUAAUAAAAACCGUCAACCAGUUAUUUCAAGGA